rnacentral:rRNA from 1 species
GUGCCAGCAGCCGCGGUAAUACGGAGGGUCCGAGCGUUAAUCAGGAAUUACUGGGCGUAAAGCGUGCGCAGGCGGUUUGUUAAGCGAGAUGUGAAAGCCCUGGGCUCAACCUAGGAAUAGCAUUUCGAACUGGCGAACUAGAGUCUUGUAGAGGCGGGGUAGAAUUCCAGGUGUAGCGGUGAAAUGCGUAGAGAUCUGGAGGAAUACCGGUGGCGAAAGCGGCCCCCUGGACAAAGACUGACGCUCAUGCACGAAAGCGUGUGGAGCAAACAGGAGUAGAUACCCUGGUAGUCC